CCCUUAGAUGUUCUGGGCCGCACACGCGCUACACUGAAGGAGGCAGCGUGUACUCCUGGAUCGAAAGAUUUGGGUAACCCGCGAAUCUCCUUCGUGCUAGGGAUUGAGGUUUGCAAUUAUCCUUCAUGAACGAGGAAUUCCCAGUAAGUGCAAGUCAUAAGCUUGCGCUGACUACGUCCCUGCCCUUUGUACACACCGGCCGUCGCUACUACCGAUUGAAUGAUUUAGUGAGGACUUCGGACUGGGACCGAUGCGGCUUUCGGGCUGCGUCGGUAUUCUGGAAAGAUGUCCAAACUGUAUCAUUUAGAGGAAGUAAAANUCGUAACA
rnacentral:rRNA from 1 species